ACGGGUCCCGCACAAGCAGCGGAGCGUGUGGUUUAAUUCGAUGCUACACGAAGAACCUUACCUGGGUUGACAUAGAGGUAGUAGGGAAGCGAAAGCGGACCGACCUUCGGGAGCCUCUACAGGUGUUGCAUGGCUGUCGUCAGCUCGUGUCGUGAGAUGUUCGGUUAAGUCCGCUAACGAGCGCAACCCUCGCUGUGUGUUACAAGUGUCACACGGUACUGCCGAUAUUAAGUCGGAGGAAGGUGGGGAUGACGUCAAGUCAGCAUGACCUUUAUAUCCAGGGCUACACACACGCUACAAUGGCCAGUACAAUGGGUUGCCAAGCCGCGAGGCGGAGCCAAUCCUAAAAAGCUGGCCUCAGUUCAGAUUGCAGUCUGCAACUCGACUGCAUGAAGUUGGAGUUGCUAGUAACCGCAGGUCAGCAAUACUGCGGUGAAUACGUUCCCGGGGAUU
rnacentral:rRNA from 1 species